AUCUAACUGACGAGUCCCAAAUAGAACGAAGUUCGUAUUCUGGAU
rnacentral:hammerhead_ribozyme from 1 species